rnacentral:rRNA from 1 species
UACGUAGGGUGCGAGCAUUGUCCGGAAUUAUUGGGCGUAAAGAGCUUGUAGGCGGUUUGUCGCGUCUGCCGUGAAAAUUCGAGGCUCAACCUCGAACUUGCGGUGGGUACGGGCAGACUAGAGUGUGGUAGGGGAGACUGGAAUUCCUGGUGUAGCGGUGAAAUGCGCAGAUAUCAGGAGGAACACCGAUGGCGAAGGCAGGUCUCUGGGCAUUAACUGACGCUGAGGAGCGAAAGCAUGGGGAGCGAACAGG